UCUAUCGGACUUUUGAGCUCGAAAAGCUCAAAAGCAUAGAAAAGCUAUCUCUUUGAGCUCAAAAUAAUACAUGAGUUGUAUUUUCGAACUCGAAAAGCCCAAGAACAUUAUAAGUGAACUUUUAAGCGCCCAGGUAUGGAAUUAGCGGAAAGUUGCAGGAAUGGCCUUCAGGGUCAACCGUUUUCCUAAUUAUUUUUAAGAAGACGUGAAGAUCCAUCAGGAGGAUAUUCAUUCCGCGGUUAUUAUAAUCCAUCUUUCCCAUACACUGACUUUGAUAAAUCGAGAAAAAUCGAUUGAGAAGUAUUCCUACAAUUCAAACACUGGAGAUAUUAAGUUCACAGUGUCCACAAGUCCUUCCAGAUAAUCGACAAACAAAAAAAAAAUAAGAGGCUAACGAAGAAGAUCAUCGAUUUAUAUUCUGUAUUAAUUUACUUUUUUUUUCGUUAAAUACUCUUUAGACAUUAAAA